UUUGUUUCCUUCCCCAGGUUCCUAGCAAAACUGUAUCCUUGAACCCCACCUCAAGAUGGCGCCCCAACCCUAGCCACCGCUCACUUUCUCCUUGGCUGCCUGGCGGGUCUUCUCAUCCAUCCAAACCAGCUGUCCCAGGGCCUCCUCAAAUGCGGUCCGGAUUUCGCUGAUCAUCCCCUCUGCCUGGGAGGGAGGAGGUAAAGUCAGCCUUCCCCUGCACUGAAUGCAUCCCUGCCCCACCCAUCCACCCUUGGUGCCCCAUCCCUGUCCACCCAGGGGAAAUGGGAACGUCUAGACUAAAGAAAUACGGCUGAGCACCUGGAGACGAUGAGAAGGAAACACCAUUUGUAAAGAGUCUGGCUGUGUUACCUAGGAUGGAGUGCAGUGGCGCAAUCUCGGCUCACUGCAACCUCCGCCUCCCGAGUUCAAGCGAUUCUCCUGCCUCAGCCUCCCAAGUAGCUAGGAUUACAGGCUCCCGCCAUCAUGCCCGGGUAAUUUUUGUAUUUUUAGUAGAGCUGGGGUUUCACCAUCUUGGCCAGGUUGGUCUUGAACUCCUGACCACGUGAUCCACCCGCCUCAGCCUCCCAAAGUGCUGGGAUUACAAGCGUGAACCACCACGCCCAGCCUAGUGCAAUGAUUUUUAUCUGAUUAUGAAAAGAGGACAUUCACAGAAAAUUUGGAAAAUUGAGAAUUGAAGAACAGACCAGUUAUAAAGCACUCAUUCAUAGAUAAGUUCUUUUAACAUUUUGAUUACCCACUUCUAGAGUUUUUCCCUCCCCUGAUAUGCAUAUAAAAUAUGGAAUUAUGUUGUAUAGGGUAUAUAUUUUUUGUAACCUACUUUUUUUGCUGAAAGAUAUAUCAGCCAUUUAAGGAUCCUCACAACCCAUCCUAACCACAAUUUAUUUUUCCUUUACCCUAUAGUUGGACAUUUAACCUGUUCUCAUUUUCUGCUAUUAUAAACAACAUUGCCAUAAAAACCAUAAACAUCCUUACAGGUAAUACUUUAAGCACAUCCAUUAUCAUAUCCUAAUAAAUAAAUAUUUCUUCUAGUUAUAUAGUUAAACAUAAACAC
rnacentral:lncRNA from 1 species